rnacentral:rRNA from 1 species
UACGCAGGGGGCUAGCGUUGCUCGGAAUCACUGGGCGUAAAGCGCACGUAGGCGGGUUGUUAAGUCGGGGGUGAAAUCCUGGAGCUCAACUCCAGAACUGCCUUCGAUACUGGCGACCUUGAGUCCGGGAGAGGUGAGUGGAACUCCGAGUGUAGAGGUGAAAUUCGUAGAUAUUCGGAAGAACACCAGUGGCGAAGGCGGCUCACUGGCCCGGUACUGACGCUGAGGUGCGAAAGCGUGGGGAGCAAACAGG